UACAGAGGUCUCAAGCGUUGUUCGGAUUCAUUGGGCGUAAAGGGCGCGUAGGCGGCGCGGUAAGCGUGCGGUGAAAGCCCGGGGCUCAACCCCGGGUCGGCCGUGCGGACUGCCGGGCUGGAGCACUGUAGAGGCAGGUGGAAUUCCGGGUGUAGCGGUGGAAUGCGUAGAGAUCCGGAAGAACACCGGUGGCGAAGGCGGCCUGCUGGGCAGUAGCUGACGCUGAAGCGCGACAGCGUGGGGAGCAAACAGG
rnacentral:rRNA from 1 species